CGCUCCGCCUUCGGCCGCUUUCUCCCGAUUUCCCUCUACUCCUCCUUCCAAUUCCGCUGUUAACUCCAACUUAUCCUAAAUUUGGGAGCCAUGGUGGAUUUGAGGCUCACGAGAGGCUUCAUCUUCUUCGAAUUGGAACCCUAGCGAUCUCCCCUUGAUCCCAAAAGGUGAAGUUUUGUUGGGUUCGGGGGUUACUGGCAUUGUCUUGGUGCAUUAGGAAUCGGGUGGUGGGAUAUAUGGAAUGGAUCUGCGUGUGGCGUCUGUGGCAUGCGUUCGUUGACUGCGGCAAAAUUCGAAAUCCACCCAUCAGAUAGCAGGAGGAGGAGGAGGUGACUGCAGAGGUUCUAGGGCGAAAACAAAGAAGAAACAAGGAUGGGAGAAGAUCUCCUCACCACCUUAUCCAUGGAAAACCAUCACCCAUCCACGCUCCUCUCCAUGGAUCCAUCUGGAGGCCUUUUACUGUCUUCGUCACACGAGGACUCCGACCGUGAGCUCUUGAUCCAGCGGCCGCAGGUUGUCCUUUCUGGUGCCCCGGACAUCAACCUCCCCCUCUCGGCCGAACGUUCUCCUUCCCAGCAAUCGUGGAAUUCAGACCCUUGUGACAUGCUGGAUGUUGGCCUUGGCCCUCAACUCUAUGAUGCAGAGGCAACCCUUCACAUCCCAAAGGUGGUCACUACUACUCGCAAGUGCACCAAGCGAGGGGAUAGCAUUUGGGGGGCGUGGUUCUUCUUUAGCUUCUAUUUCAAGCCCAUUCUCUCGGAGAAAUCCAAGGGAAAGGUCAUCUGGGAUGAAAAUGGGGUUAAUGGCUUUGACAAGUCUGAUGUUCGCCAUGAUGUGUUCUUGGUUCAGCAUGACAUGGAGAACAUGUACAUGUGGAUUUUCAAAGAGAGGCCAGAGAAUGCGCUUGGGAAGAUGCAACUGCGGAGCUAUAUGAAUGGGCACUCUCGUCUUGGUGAGCCACAAUUCCCAUUCAGUGUUGACAGGGGUUUUGUUCGGUCCCACAGGAUGCAGCGCAAGCAGUAUCGGGGACUGUCGAAUCCACAAUGUGUCCACGGAAUUGAGGUCGUCAGGUCUCCUAAUCUGAUGGUUGUUUGUGAGUUGGACCGCAAAAAGUGGGUGGAGCUCACGGGCAGGGAUCUUAAUUUUUCAAUCCCUCUUGAAGCCAGUGAUUUUGAGUUGUGGAGGAAUCUAACCAACACUGAAUUUGAACUUGAGAGGCCUCCUCCAUUGAAGAACAUUUCGCAUCCCCAUCCUAAAAAGUCACUUAUCGUUUCGAGUUUGAAUUUAUCUUCACAGUCAAAUCAUUCUAAUGGUGAUGGGAUGGACCUUUGUCCUGUCUGCAGUAAACGCAGGAAGGAUUUCUUCCCUCAUGUUAUGCAUGAGGAUUUCUGCCUUCCUGCAAAUCCCCAUGCUGAAAGAGGUCAAGAUGUGGAGAUGCACGAAGUCGAGCCAUCAUGGUUGAACGAAUUCACUGGUGUUAUGAAGCAUGCAUAUGGACCUGUAACUGCUGCAAAGACAAUAUAUGAAGAUGAUGAGGGGUACUUGAUAAUGGUGAGCUUGCCAUUUGCUGAUCAACAAAGAGUGAAAGUUUCUUGGAGGAACAAUCUUACACAUGGAAUUUUGAAGAUAAUUUGUGUCAGCACUGCCCGAAUGCCUUACAUAAAGAGGCAUGACAGGACUUUCAAACUAACUGACCCUUCCCCUGAGCAUUGUCCUCCAGGGGAAUUUAUAAGGGAAAUAACACUACCGACACGUAUCCCUGAAGAUGCCAACCUGGAAGCAUACUAUGAUGAAACUGGUGCUUUGCUUGAGAUUAUGGUUCCAAAACAUCGAGUUGGACCAGAAGAACAUGAAGUUCAUGUGUGCAUGCGCCCCCCUCACUUUGGGGCUAAUGAUCUUCUGUUGACCUGAAUAAGUGGUGACACCAUGUGUGCAGCUGGAUGCAUGGUUAGGUUUCCUUUGACUAAUAAUUCUGUACCAUGGAAAGGAAACCUGUCAAUUUGAAAUGGAGAAGAUAUACUCGUCAGUUUGGGAUCAUGGUGGUCUUUGGGAUCAAAAGGAUGAUAUAUGAAUCAGUGUUUUCCAGACAAUGGGAAAAGAGGCCACACCCACCAACAGCAAGUUUGGAGCUUCUGUUUAUCUUCACCAGCAUUUAUUAGCUUACACUAUGAAGUGAUCUUGCUGUAAGUCCUUCACACCCUGCACUUUUGUUUCGGUUUACAUCUUGGUGUUUCUUUUUUCGAUCCAAGCUGUGCAGGAUUGUCUUCGCCAUGAACGAGACGGUGGCAUUUACUCCCUCUUAUAGAUGUGUGCUUUGGUCUUCAAGAUUUUAAACGGAGCCACCUUCUUCCCCGAGCCCAUACAACUCUGCUUCGAUUUUGCCCACAACAAGAUCAUGUUCUGCUGUCACCUAGUUUUCUUCUUGUAAUUGGCUGUGUGUGCUGCAGAUGUUCGGAUACAUGGUGGUCGUGGCAGAUGUAUUGGAAAGAAAUGAUCCAUAUAGCGGCGGCGGAUCAUGUUUGGACUUUGAUCAACAGAAACAUGCCAACACAUGAAGACAAGGUAGGUUGGCUUGUUUCCUUGUUUCAUGAAGUAAAUUGCUGCAGUCAUGGUGCUUGACAGACGACAGCUUACCCGUGCUCGGUGCACCCACUGUCGAGGAAGGGCAAGAAGAGUGGGAGAAACACAGCUUUCAUGGGAAAAGGGAAAAGCCAAGCCAUGUCCACCAAACUCUUGAAUAGAUUCCUCUCGUUUGGAAUCUACUCAGCUAGUAAACACAAUACUCAGAUCAGUCUAAGAUGGAAAAAACUCCUUUUCAUGAAUGCUCAGAUCAGUCUAUUAUAAAGCCUUUUCUCAGAUGGAUUUGAUGAGGUCAGACUUGGAUUAUUCAUUUGAUCCAUUCGACAUGUCUUCGAAUCGAGACAAUUGUUGAAAAAGCUUCGUUUCCAAAUGUAACUUUUUAUUUUGAUCAUAUGAUAUUUGAAGUGAUCAAACUGUAGUAGACUUGGUGGAAGUUGGAAUCUUAUAUUGCUUAUCAUUACAAAUGUGGGUUAGUAUUCUUAUCA